UUCAGUUACUGGCGGUCUCUAAUUCGCUUGGUGCAGGUCGGGAACUGCUUCGCGUUUAGGGCCUUUUUUUCGUACAAGACCUAUGAGCCAGGUGGCGCCAUGGUAUUGGUCGGUGGGUGCGAAAUGGGUCCCGCCUUGCAUCAACUGAAUCGGAGACCGCGGUGAAGAG
rnacentral:pre_miRNA from 1 species